rnacentral:rRNA from 1 species
GACGAACGCUGGCGGCGUGCCUAAUACAUGCAAGUUGAGCGCUGAAGGUUGGUACUUGUACCAACUGGAUGAGCAGCGAACGGGUGAGUAACGCGUGGGGAAUCUGCCUUUGAGCGGGGGACAACAUUUGGAAACGAAUGCUAAUACCGCAUAAAAACUUUAAACACAAGUUUUAAGUUUGAAAGAUGCAAUUGCAUCACUCAAAGAUGAUCCCGCGUUGUAUUAGUUAGUUGGUGAGGUAAAGGCUCACCAAGGCGAUGAUACAUAGCCGACCUGAGAGGGUGAUCGGCCACAAUGGGACUGAGACACGGCCCAAACUCCCACGGGAGGCAGCAGGAGGGGAUCUUCGGCAAUAGACGAAAGUCUGACCGAGCAACGCCGCGUGAGUGAAGAAGGGUUUCGGAUCGUAAAACUCUGUUGGUAGAGAAGAACGUUGGUGAGGGUAGAAAGCUCAUCAAGUGACGGUAACUACCCAGAAAGGGACGGCUAACUACGUG